CACACUGAAAGCACCGGUCCUCAUUCGAACAAAGAAGUUAACUAACGUCAAGACCGGUCAGUACUUAGAUGGGGGACCGCUUGGGAAUACCGGGUACUGUA